CCUCCCACCGGGUCCCUCCUUCAACAUUGGGAAUUAUAAUUUGACAUGAGAUUUGCAUGGGGACACAGAGCCAAACCAUAUCAAUCCACCCCUGGCCCCUCCCAAAUCUCAUGUCCCUUUUACAUUUCAAAACAUAAUAAAGCCUUUCCAAUAGCCCCCCAAAGUCUUAACUUGUUCCAGCAUUAACUCAAAAGUUGAUGUUCAAAGUCUCAUCAGAGACAAGGCAAGUCCUUUCUGCCUAUGAGCCUG
rnacentral:lncRNA from 1 species